CUUGAAAUUGACUAACAAUGCUUCAAUCGCAGCGACACAAACGCUCAUGUGCAACCACCUUUACAUCUAUAAGGCGACGACAAAUCAAAUCAUUCAACGUCUAAACCUACAAGCUUAUUUACAAUAUAAUUUGUUAGAUUAAAACACAAAUAAAGAUUGUCUAUGGUUCCGUAGUCUGUAGGAACUUAUGGUUUAUGUUUCAAGGUCAGUUCACACCA